AUGUUCGACUUCUGUAUGAGCUUUCGUAACGUUCGGUUGUGUGACAGUUCAGUGUGGAAGUGAUAAUUCAAAAAAAAACGCAGGCGACAAAAACAAAAUAGGAACUACAUAAUAGAGCUACAGAAAAACAAGAAGAAGGACAAGGACCACAUAGGACCAAAAAAAAAAAAAAUAGAUCUGAAGUUGACAGGACACCUGGUUGUGCAUUGCCUUGAGCAAGACGCGCAUAACCAAUAACAUGUACUGGGUAAAUGAUUAAAAAAAAAUCGAAACCCAAAAAAAAGGAAGAAGAAGAAGAAGA
rnacentral:lncRNA from 1 species